CCCCACCUCAGGAGCAGCACCAGGGGGCUCAGCAGGGGAACGCAGAGGCAGAUGGAGCGAGGCAGAGGCUGGCUAGUGUGGGAUUUCAAAGAGGCAGCAGUGUGUUUACCAAUAACAGAAGCAGGCAAACUGAAACUGAAGAGACAGCAGGCAGCUGUGCAUGCCGAGAGGAAAGGGAGAGGGGCAGGCAGGCAGGUGUCAGUCUGUUGGUGAUGCUCUUGGGUCUGCACUAACAAUCCUUUUAAACAGAAAGAGUAACAGAAAGGGGGACAGAGGAGAAAAAAAGUACUUCCAAAGAGGACACCUCCCAGCCUCUGACCCUUGCUGUAGGAACAAGCUCCACUUGGGGAAGGAAAUGAAGCCAGCAGUUCAGGAGAAGGAUUCCUCCCAGUGUCUCUCACCUGCUGACUCCUCUGGGAGAGGAUCCAUGCCCAGGGCUGAGGUCCAGGAGCUGUCCUACAGUGUCUAGGAGAAGGGGCAGAAAGUAGCUGAUAGGACUUGUGGAUUACUCCUUUGAUGUUUGAGGCAUGGAAAGUGGAAUAAUAGCAUAGGAGAGGUAUUGAAUGGGAACAGGAAUCUACCGAAGGAGUGUGCUAACAGGGAGAGAAGUCUGCAUAGGCUGUUGCUGUCUUACAUUAGUGCCAUAGAAUCAUAGAAAUGUUUGGAAGGGACUGCGUUAUUCCAUCUAGUCCAGUCUCCUGCACU